rnacentral:snoRNA from 1 species
GGAAUAACACACAGAAAACUUGGAAAACUGAACAAAAUGAGUGAACACUCUACAUUGUCAUAUUCAUCAAACUGAGGUCC